AUUGAACGCUAGCGGGAUGCCUUACACAUGCAAGUCGAACGGAGUGGCGAACGGGUGAGUAAUGUAUCGGAACGUGCCCCGUAGCGGGGGAUAACUACGCGAAAGCGUAGCUAAUACCGCAUACUAUUGGAGUGGCCGAUAUCGGAUUAGCUAGUUGGUGGGGUAACGGCACACCAGGGCGACGAUCCGUAGCUGGUUUGAGAGGACGACCAGCCACACUGGGACGGAGACACGGCCCGGACUCCUACGGGAGGCAGCAGUGGGGAAUUUUGGACAAGGGGGGAAAUCCUGAUCCAGCCAGCCCGCGUGUGCGAUGAAGGCCUUCGGGUUGUAAAGCACUUUUGGCAGGAAGGCGGUACCGGCAGAAUAAGCACCGGCUAACUACGUGCCAGCAGCCGCGGUAAUAC
rnacentral:rRNA from 1 species